AGUGAACGCUGGCGGUAGGCCUAACACAUGCAAGUCGAACGGCAGCACAGUAAGAGCUUGCUCUUACGGGUGGCGAGUGGCGGACGGGUGAGGAAUACAUCGGAAUCUACUUUUUCGUGGGGGAUAACGUAGGGAAACUUACGCUAAUACCGCAUACGACCUACGGGUGAAAGCAGGGGAUCUUCGGACCUUGCGCGAUUGAAUGAGCCGAUGUCGGAUUAGCUAGUUGGCGGGGUAAAGGCCCACCAAGGCGACGAUCCGUAGCUGGUCUGAGGGGAUGAUCAGCCACACUGGAACUGAGACACGGUCCAGACUCCUACGGGAGGCAGCAGUGGGGAAUAUUGGACAAUGGGCGCAAGCCUGAUCCAGCCAUACCGCGUGGGUGAAGAAGGCCUUCGGGUUGUAAAGCCCUUUUGUUGGGAAAGAAAAGCAGCAGGUUAAUACCCCGCUGUUCUGACGGUACCCAAAGAAUAAGCACCGGCUAACUUCGUGC
rnacentral:rRNA from 1 species